rnacentral:lncRNA from 1 species
UAAGCUUUGUCCAUGUAGGGAUGAUGGUCAAGGUCAGAGUUUUGAGUCUUUUUGAGUGUUCCUGGCACAGCCAUGGAAAUAACGGAACAAAGACAGAGCCUUGCAAUUCAGAAGCCCAUCUUAAAACACUCCGGUUCAUAUCUACAUUAAAACAGGUGUGGCAGUGGCAUUGGAAGAGGCCUUUUCCUUAUGUGCCUUAGCACCAAACCACGUGUCUAAAUGGGCUUCUAGAGUGGAGAAGAAAACACAUUUUGGAUGAGGAACAAGGUUAGCUCCAGUGGCAUAUUUCAAAGGGCACAGAGAGCCUGGAGGACAGAAGGCCUUCGACCUAAAAGGGAAAGAAAGAUGACACAAGAGUCCUUGACUCAAAUAGGAUUUCACCUCUCAUCAGAGAAACUUAGGAAAGAGGUGAAAUUUCAGAAGCCAAACUCUUGAACAGAAUGCCCUAGAGCAGGAUGUGCCAGGCCUGAGUGCCAUUCAUUCUCUUAUUGUGGAUCUCUGAUUUUGCUGGUGCAACCAUCUUCUUUCCAUGACUUCUGUCUCAGUUGGGUGGGAAUGGCUAGGAAGAAAAUUUUGUGUGAUUUCCUGUCUUCUCAAAAUCUCUACUAGAGUCAAGACACAUCAGUCCAGGACUCAAUCUAUCUGGCCAAGCAUUUCUGACAGGCAGAAUCUCCGACAGGGAGUUUGCCUUCGCUAGGCCUUCGAUUUGAACUCCCUGGAAGCUGACAUCCCCACAGAGUGUGAAAUCCACCUCAGUGGCUGUCAAGAAACUGGCAGAUUCACUGGCGGGUUCACAUUACCUGCUGGGCAGUGCUAGUGUAGAGAAGACUUGUGUGGGAUGAUUUAUCCUAAAAUGAACCAUAUAGCUCUGUCAGGAAUAGACAUCUGGUUCCCAAAUUGGUGAAUAAUUCUAGCUCACUGAGGUAUCUGGUUAACCUAUAUUCUUGAACCUCUUUAGGAAAAAAGACUUAAUAGAUAACCAUCUAGCAACAUAUCAUUUUAUAGAUGUUUCAGCUGAACUAAAGGUAAACCUGGGCAGUCAGGCUUAGUGUGUG